rnacentral:misc_RNA from 1 species
UCCCCGUUGCCGGGGCAGUCUCACAAGAUAAUAUAACUUGCGACGAGGGUUGCGCUCGUUGAGGGACUUAACCCUACAUCUCACGACACGAGCUGACGACGGCCAUGCAUCACCUGUCUCUCGAUUCCCUUGCGGGCACUCCUGACUUUCGUCAAGAUUCCGAGGAUGUCAAGCCCUGGUAAGGUUCUUCGCGUACCAUCGAAUUAAACCACACGCUCCACCGCUUGUGCGGGUCCCCGUCAAUUCCUUUGAGUUUUAAGCUUGCGCUCGUACUCCCCAGGCGGGAUGCUUAACGCGUUAGCUUCGCUACUGAAGGGGUCGAUACCUCCAACAGCUAGCAUCCAUAGUUUACGGCGUGGACUAC